ACCGUGAGGGAAAGGUGAAAAGCACCCCGGGAGGGGAGUGAAACAGCACCUGAAACCGUGCGCCCACGAGCAGUCGGAGCACCGAUAGGUGUGACGGCGUGCCUUUUGUAGAAUGAGCCAGCGAGUCAGACGCGCGCGGCGAGGUUAAGCUAGGAAGCGAGCCGCAGAGAAGUCGAGUCCGAACAGGGCGUCGAGUCGCGCGCGCUGGACGCGAAGCCGGGUGAGCUAUCCCUGGGCAGGCUGAAGCGGGGGUAAGACCCCGUGGAGGGCCGAACGGCAGUACGUUGAAAAGUGCUCCGAUGACCUGGGGAUAGGGGUGAAAGGCCAAUCAAACCCGGAGAUAUCUCGUUCUCCCCGAAAUAGCUUUAGGGCUAGCGUCGGCCGUUCUCCGGCGGAGGUAGAGCACCGGACGGGUGAGGGGGCUUCGCCGCCUACCGAUCCCGACCGAACUCCGAAUGCCGCCGGAUCAGAGGCCGGCAGUCAGAGCAUGUGGGCUAAGCUGUGUGCUCGAGAGGGAAACAGCCCAGACCGCCCGCCAAGGCCCCCAAGUCCGUGCCGAGUGGCAAAGGAUGUGCGUCCGCCCAGACAGCCAGGAGGUUGGCUUAGAAGCAGCCACCCCUUCAAAGAGUGCGUAACAGCUCACUGGCCGAGUGGACAUGCGCCGACAAUACACGGGGCUAAGCACGGCGCCGAAGCGGCGGAUACGUCUUGACGUAUGGUAGGGGAGCGUCCCGCGGGGGGCGAAGCCGGAGGGCGACCGACGGUGGACCGCGCGGGAGCGAGGAUGCUGGCAUGAGUAGCGAGAGUGGAGAGGGUAACUCCACCGCCGUGAACCCGAGGUUUCCUGGGCGAGGCUAAUCCCCCCAGGGUCAGUCGGGGGCUAAGGCGAGGCCGGAAGGCGUAGCCGAAGCGCAGCAGGCAGACAUUCCUGCACCGCGCACGCGGCGCUAUGACCGAUGCGGCGACGGAUGGGGGUGGCUCGGCCGGGUUCUGGACGUCCCGGUGAUGGAGCGCGGCCCGUCGGGGAGGGAAGUCCCCCCGGCGCGAGGGUUAGGCUCCGGACGAAGCGACUGAGCGAAGCGAGUGAGCCCGUGGUCCCUAGAAAAACCGCUAGGCAGGCGCGUGCGCGCCCGUACCGCAAACCGACACAGGUGGGUGGGUAGAACAUACCGAGGCGAUCGGGUCAACCGUGGUCAAGGAACUCGGCACAAUGGCCCCGUAACCUAGGGAGAAGGGGUGCCCCCGCGUACGUGAACCGGCUCGCCCGGGGAGCGGAGGGGGGCCGCAGUGAAGAGGCCCAAGCGACUGUUUACCAAAAACACAGGACUCUGCAGAAGCCGCAAGGCGACGUAUAGGGUCUGACGCCUGCCCGGUGCCGGAAGGUCACGCGGAGGGGUCAGCCGCAAGGCGAAGCUCCGAAGCCAAGCCCCGGUAAACGGCGGCCGUAACUAUAACGGUCCUAAGGUAGCGAAAUUCCUUGUCGGGUAAGUUCCGACCUGCACGAAAGGCGCAACGACUUGGGCGCUGUCUCGACCACGGACCCGGUGAAAUUGCACUGGUCGUGAAGAUGCGACCUACCCGCGGAAGGACGACGAGACCCCGUGAACCUUCACUGCAGCUUGGCAUUGGCCGCUGCUCGGGAGCGUAGAGGAUAGGCGGGAGGCUUCGAAGCCGGGGCGCCAGCCCCGGUGGAGCCGACCUUGGAAUACCGCCCCCUCCCGUGCGGCGUCCUAACCCCCGGCCGCGAUCCGGCGGGGGGACCGUGCCAGGUGGGCAGUUUGACUGGGGCGGUCGCCUCCUAAAGGGUAACGGAGGCGCGCGAAGGUUGGCUCGGGGCGGUCGGCAACCGCCCUCAUAGAGUGCAAGAGCGCAAGCCAGCUUGACUGCGAGUCCUACAAGACGAGCAGGUGCGAAAGCAGGCUCUAGUGAUCCGGCGGCCCCACGUGGGAGGGCCGUCGCUCAACGGAUAAAAGGUACUCCGGGGAUAACAGGC
rnacentral:rRNA from 1 species